GUGGGGAAUUUUGGACAAUGGGGGCAACCCUGAUCCAGCAAUGCCGCGUGUGUGAAGAAGGCCUUCGGGUUGUAAAGCACUUUUGUCCGGAAAGAAAUCCUUGAUCCUAAUAUGGUCGGGGGCUGACGGUACCGGAAGAAUAAGCACCGGCUAACUACGUGCCAGCAGCCGCGGUAAUACGUAGGGUGCGAGCGUUAAUCGGAAUUACUGGGCGUAAAGCGUGCGCAGGCGGUUCGCUAAGACCGAUGUGAAAUCCCCGGGCUUAACCUGGGAACUGCAUUGGUGACUGGCGAGCUAGAGUGUGGCAGAGGGGGGUAGAAUUCCACGUGUAGCAGUGAAAUGCGUAGAGAUGUGGAGGAAUACCGAUGGCGAAGGCAGCCCCCUGGGCUAACACUGACGCUCAUGCACGAAAGCGUGGGGAGCAAAC
rnacentral:rRNA from 1 species